rnacentral:rRNA from 1 species
GUGAGGAAUAUUGGUCAAUGGGCGCAAGCCUGAACCAGCCAUGCCGCGUGCAGGAAGACGGUCCUAUGGAUUGUAAACUGCUUUUAUUUGGGAAUAAACUCCGGUACGUGUACCGGCCUGAAGGUACCAAAGGAAUAAGCACCGGCUAACUCCGUGCCAGCAGCCGCGGUAAUACGGAGGGUGCAAGCGUUAUCCGGAAUCAUUGGGUUUAAAGGGUCCGCAGGCGGUCUUAUAAGUCAGUGGUGAAAGCCUACAGCUCAACUGUAGAACUGCCAUUGAUACUGUAGGACUUGAAUUCGAUCGAAGUGGGCGGAAUGUGACAUGUAGCGGUGAAAUGCUUAGAUAUGUCACAGAACACCGAUAGCGAAGGCAGCUCACUAGGUCUGGAUUGACGCUCAGGGACGAAAGCGUGGGGAGCAAACAGGAUUAGAAACCCCGGUAGUCC